CUCGCGGGAGCGCAACUGACGCUGAAGCUCGAAAGUGCGGGUAUCGAACAGGAUUAGAUACCCUGGUAGUCCGCACGGUAAACGAUGGAUGCCCGCUUUUCGGUCAUAAGACCGUGAGGCCAAGUGAAAACAUUAAGCAUCCCACCUGGGGAGUACGCCGGCAACGGUGAAACUCAAAGGAAUUGACGGGGGCCCGCACAAGCGGAGGAACAUGUGGUUUAAUUCGAUGAUACGCGAGGAACCUUACCCGGGCUUGAAUUGCAGAUGAAGGAUCCAGAGAUGGUGACGCCCUUCGGGGCAUCUGUGAAGGUGCUGCAUGGUUGUCGUCAGCUCGUGCCGUGAGGUGUCGGCUCAAGUGCCAUAACGAGCGCAACCCCUCUCUUCAGUUGCCAUCAGGCAAAGCUGGGCACUCUGGAGACACUGCCACCGCAAGGUGUGAGGAAGGUGGGGAUGACGUCAAAUCAGCACGGCUGGACGGGCGGUGGGACCCACGUCUUACAACGGGGGUACAGAAACCCGCUGAUGCGCAAGGUCAGUCCAAUCAAGAAAGCCCUCCUCAGUUCGCACUGGCCUCUGCAACCCGACCACAGGAAGCUGAUU
rnacentral:rRNA from 1 species